AGUGAACGCUGGCGGUAGGCCUAACACAUGCAAGUCGAACGGCAGCACAGUAAGAUCUUGCUCUUACGGGUGGCGAGUGGCGGACGGGUGAGGAAUACGUCGGAAUCUACUUUUUCGUGGGGGAUAACGUAGGGAAACUUACGCUAAUACCGCAUACGACCUACGGGUGAAAGCAGGGGAUCUUCGGACCUUGCGCGAUUGAAUGAGCCGAUGUCGGAUUAGCUAGUUGGCGGGGUAAAGGCCCACCAAGGCGACGAUCCGUAGCUGGUCUGAGAGGAUGAUCAGCCACACUGGAACUGAGACACGGUCCAGACUCCUACGGGAGGCAGCAGUGGGGAAUAUUGGACAAUGGGCGCAAGCCUGAUCCAGCCAUACCGCGUGGGUGAAGAAGGCCUUCGGGUUGUAAAGCCCUUUUGUUGGGAAAGAAAAGCAGCAGGUUAAUACCCCGAUGUUCUGACGGUACCCAAAGAAUAAGCACCGGCUAACUUCGUG
rnacentral:rRNA from 1 species